rnacentral:rRNA from 1 species
AAACUGGAGAGUUUGAUCCUGGCUCAGAACGAACGCUGGCGGCGUGCUUAACACAUGCAAGUCGAACGCGAACGGUUCCUUCGGGGACUUAGUAGAGUGGCGCACGGGUGAGUAACGCGUAAGUAAUCUCCCCUCGCAUUCGGGAUAACCCACCGAAAGGUGUGCUAAUACCGGAUACGUCUGGAAUAAUGACUUUUUUUCAGAGAAAGGCAGCCUCUAUUUAUAUGCUGUCGUGCGAGGAUGAGCUUGCGUACCAUUAGCUAGUUGGUAGGGUAAGAGCCUACCAAGGCGACGAUGGUUAGCGGGUCUGAGAGGAUGAUCCGCCACACUGGAACUGGAACACGGACCAGACUCCUACGGGAGGCAGCAGUGAGGAAUAUUGCGCAAUGGGGGCAACCCUGACGCAGCGACGCCGCGUGGAUGAUGAAGGCC